GACGAACGCUGGCGGCGUGCCUAAUACAUGCAAGUCGAACGCAGCCGCGUACGGGUGAUUAACGCGUCGGUCACUGCCUGGUAGCGGGGGAUAACUACUGGAAACGAUAGCUACUACCGCCUACAACCAGACGGACCUGCGUUGUAUUAGCUAGUUGGUGGGGUAACGGCUCACCAAGCCAACGAUACAUAGCCGACCCGAGAGGGUGAUCGGCCACACUGGGACUGAGACACGGCCCAGACUCCUACGGGAGGCAGCAGUAGGGAAUCUUCGGCAAUGGGGGGAAGCCUGACCGAGCAACGCCGCGUGAGUGAAGAAGGUUUUCGGAUCGUAAAGCUCUGUUGUUAAGGAAGCGGUACUUGACCAGAAAGGGACGGCUAACUACGUGCCAGCAGCCGCGGUAAUAC
rnacentral:rRNA from 1 species